AAACAGUUAUGAGCUGAACAGUAUGCCAGGAAAAUGGAGGACAGUACCAGGUGUGCUGGAGUCAGAGCAGAACCCCACCAGGUGCAACCUGUUCCAUAAUCAAGACCUCUACAAAUACUCAGUCCUGCCACUUCCACCCUGGCAGAUCGUAAUCUCUGCUCAGCCCACGUCUCCUCAUACUGCUACUCUGCCCUGGAUUCCCCACUCUACUGGAUUCCCCUCCGGACCUGCCUACCCUGUCCCAAACCCUCUCGCUCCAGCCUCAGUCUCCACACCUGGUUUCCUGCAACCCGCCCAAGCUUCCCGUGGCCUGCACUCCACCUUCCCCCUGUGUUUCAAUAAAUACCUUGGUUACCUCAUCCCAGUCUCCUUGUCUGAGUCUGCUCUUGGGUUUCCCUGUUCCACUCCGUGUAACAGUUACUUCUGUGAACGUUAAUUAUCCUCCCUCCUCACAGAGACAAACGUGUAAAUAUCUUAAGCGGAAUUACAAGGCAAUAUUUCUUAAACUUAAACAAUUUCUCCAAACACAAAUGUAAGUGUUGAU
rnacentral:lncRNA from 1 species